AUUGAACGCUGGCGGCAGGCUUAACACAUGCAAGUCGAGCGGAGAUGAGGUGCUUGCACCUUAUCUUAGCGGCGGACGGGUGAGUAAUGCUUAGGAAUCUGCCAUUUAGUGGGGGACAACAUUCCGAAAGGAAUGCUAAUACCGCAUACGUCCUACGGGAGAAAGCAGGGGAUCUUCGGACCUUGCGCUAAAUGAUGAGCCUAAGUCGGAUUGGCUAGUUGGUGGGGUAAAGGCCUACCAAGGCGACGAUCUGUAGCGGGUCUGAGAGGAUGAUCCGCCACACUGGGACUGGGACACGGCCCAGACUCCUACGGGAGGCAGCAGUGGGGAAUAUUGGACAAUGGGCGGAAGCCUGAUCCAGCCAUGCCGCGUGUGUGAAGAAGGCCUUUUGGUUGUAAAGCACUUUAAGCGAGGAGGAGGCUACUAGUACUAAUACUACUGGAUAGUGGACGUUACUCGCAGAAUAAGCACCGGCUAACUCUGUGCCAGCCGCCGCGGUAAGAC
rnacentral:rRNA from 1 species